ensembl:snRNA U2 U2 spliceosomal RNA
AUAGCUUCUGGGCCUUUUGGCUAAGAUCAAGUGUAGCAUCUGCUAUCAGUUUAACAUCUGAUACUGAAGCAGUGUCAUCUCACACUGAGGAAAUCAA